UACGUAGGGAGCUAGCGUUGUCCGGAAUCAUUGGGCGUAAAGCGCGCGUAGGCGGCCCGGUAAGUCCGCUGUGAAAGUCAAAGGCUCAACCUUUGAAUGUCAGCGGAUACUGCCGGGCUAGAGUCCGGAAGAGGCGAGUUGAAUUCCAGGUGUAGCGGUGAAAUGCGUAGAUAUCUGGAGGAACACCGGUGGCGAAGGCGGCGUUCUGGACUGUAACUGACACUGAAGAACGAAAGCCAGGGGAGCAAACAGG
rnacentral:rRNA from 1 species